rnacentral:rRNA from 1 species
UCGGGUCGUAAAACUCUGUCCUCAAGGAAGAUAAUGACGGUACUUGAGGAGGAAGCCCCGGCUAACUACGUGCCAGCAGCCGCGGUAAUACGUAGGGGGCUAGCGUUAUCCGGAUUUACUGGGCGUAAAGGGUGCGUAGGCGGUCUUUCAAGUCAGGAGUGAAAGGCUACGGCUCAACCGUAGUAAGCUCUUGAAACUGGGAGACUUGAGUGCAGGAGAGGAGAGUGGAAUUCCUAGUGUAGCGGUGAAAUGCGUAGAUAUUAGGAGGAACACCAGUUGCGAAGGCGGCUCUCUGGACUGUAACUGACGCUGAGGCACGAAAGCGUGGGGAGCAAACAGGAUUAGAUACCCUGGUAGUCCACGCUGUAAACGAUGGGUACUAGGUGUCGGGGGUUACCCCCUUCGGUGCCGC